AGAUUUAUCGGCAGCCAUCUUCUUGGGGGUGCUGGGAGCCGGGAAGACCCCCCGAAUCGUUCCCAUUGAGCUGCCCUUCGUCUUCGCUUUCUUUACUUUUGCCUCUUGCGUUGCCAACAAGCACCUAGUCCCGAAGCUGAGAGGAAGCCCGGGUCUAAGCGCGUUUCGCGCUCCCGGUUCGGGAAGACUCGCUGGGGAGUAGGGAAGGGGGAGGGCCCGGGCAAACCGUUGCUGCCUCAGCCCAGGCCGGGGUCCGGGAAGGGGGAGCUCCUAGCACCCCGAGGACUCGCGGCCUGCGGCGAUCCUCCGCGGAGCUGUUCGCCGAUCGGGGCUCGCGGGAACCUGCCACCGGCGCCUCCCACCGCGGCCCGCGCGGGCGGCGCGCGGAGGAGGGGGCGGGGGCAGCGGCGGCCGUAGCGGCUGCGACCUGGGCGGGCGGAGGAGUGUGACGGGCCUCGGGGCCCCUGUGGAUGGUUUCUAAAAUGAUCAUUGAAAACUUCGAGGCACUCAAGUCCUGGCUCAGCAAGACUCUCGAACCCAUCUGUGAUGCAGAUCCAUCAGCCCUAGCAAAAUAUGUUCUGGCUUUGGUAAAGAAAGACAAAAGUGAAAAAGAGUUAAAGGCAUUAUGUAUUGAUCAGCUGGAUGUAUUUCUUCAAAAAGAGACACAGAUAUUUGUGGAAAAACUUUUUGAUGCUGUGAAUACAAAAAGUUAUCUACCUCCUCCAGAGCAGCCAUCAUCAGGAAGCCUGAAGGUAGAGUUUUUUCAGCACCAAGAAAAAGAUAUAAAAAAAGAAGAGAUUACAAAAGAAGAAGAGCGAGAGAAGAAGUUUUCCAGAAGGCUGAAUCACAGUCCUCCCCAGUCAAGUUCCCGAUACAGAGAAAAUAGAAGUCGUGAUGAGAGGAAAAAAGAUGAUCGUUCUCGCAAAAGAGAUUAUGAUCGAAACCCUCCUCGAAGAGAUUCAUACAGAGACCGGUACAAUAGAAGACGAGGGCGAAGUCGCAGUUACAGCAGGAGUCGAAGUCGGAGUUGGAGUAAAGAAAGGCUUCGCGACAGAGAUAGAGAUAGAAGCAGGACAAGAAGCAGAAGCAGAACACGAAGCAGGGAAAGGGAUCUAGUAAAACCUAAAUACGACCUGGAUAGAGCAGAUCCAUUAGAAAAUAAUUAUACUCCAGUGUCUUCGGUACCCAAUAUCUCUUCUGGCCACUAUCCUGUACCUACUUUGAGCAGCACCAUUACCGUAAUUGCACCCACUCAUCAUGGUAAUAACACUACUGAAAGUUGGUCUGAAUUUCAUGAAGACCAGGUGGACCAUAACUCUUUUGUAAGACCACCAAUGCCAAAGAAAAGGUGUAGAGACUAUGAUGAAAAGGGUUUUUGUAUGAGAGGAGACAUGUGCCCUUUUGAUCAUGGAAGUGACCCAGUAGUUGUAGAAGAUGUCAAUCUUCCUGGCAUGUUGCCUUUCCCAGCACAGCCUCCUGUUGUUGAAGGACCACCUCCUCCUGGACUCCCCCCACCUCCACCAAUUCUUACACCCCCGCCUGUGAAUCUCAGACCCCCAGUGCCACCUCCAGGUCCAUUACCACCCAGUCUCCCACCUGUAACAGGACCACCACCUCCACUUCCUCCUUUGCAGCCAUCUGGCAUGGAUGCUCCCCCAAACUCUGCAACCAGUUCUGUUCCUACUGUAGUAACAACUGGCAUUCAUCACCAACCUCCUCCUGCUCCACCCUCUCUUUUUACUGCAGAUACAUAUGACACAGAUGGCUACAAUCCUGAAGCCCCAAGCAUAACAAACACUUCCAGACCUAUGUAUAGACACAGAGUGCAUGCACAAAGGCCUAACUUGAUAGGACUAACAUCAGGGGAUAUGGAUUUACCACCAAGAGAAAAGCCUCCUAAUAAAAGCAGUAUGAGGAUAGUAGUGGAUUCAGAAUCAAGGAAAAGAACCAUAGGUUCCGGAGAGCCUGGAGUUCCUACAAAGAAGACUUGGUUUGAUAAGCCAAAUUUUAAUAGAACAAACAGCCCAGGCUUCCAGAAGAAGGUUCAGUUUGGAAAUGAAAAUACCAAACUUGAACUUAGAAAAGUUCCUCCAGAAUUAAAUAAUAUCAGCAAACUUAAUGAACAUUUUAGUCGAUUUGGAACAUUGGUUAACUUACAGGUUGCAUAUAAUGGUGAUCCUGAAGGUGCCCUUAUCCAAUUUGCAACAUAUGAAGAAGCAAAGAAAGCAAUAUCGAGUACAGAAGCAGUUUUAAAUAAUCGCUUUAUUAAGGUUUAUUGGCACAGAGAAGGAAGCACCCAGCAGUUACAAACUACUUCUCCAAAGGUAAUGCCACCUUUAGUCCAGCAGCCCAUUUUGCCUGUUGUGAAGCAGUCAGUUAAAGAGCGACUGGGCCCGGUACCUUCAACUACUGUUGAACCAGCAGAAGCCCAGAGUGCUAGUUCAGACCUUCCUCAGAAUGUAACUAAGUUAUCUGUGAAGGACAGGUUGGGUUUUGUAUCAAAGCCAUCUGUUUCAGCAACUGAAAAGGUAUUGUCUACAUCUACUGGCCUAACAAAAACGGUGUAUAAUCCAGCUGCUUUGAAGGCUGCACAAAAAGCCUUACUUGUUUCCACCCCUGCAGUUGAUAAUAAUGAAGCACAGAAAAAAAAACAGGAGGCACUGAAACUGCAGCAGGACGUAAGGAAAAGGAAACAAGAAAUUUUAGAAAAGCACAUUGAAACACAGAAGAUGUUGAUUUCAAAGUUAGAGAAAAAUAAAGCAAUGAAGUCUGAAGAUAAAGCAGAAAUAAUGAAGACUUUAGAGGUUUUGACAAAAAAUAUUACCAAGUUGAAAGAUGAGGUGAAAGCUACUUCUCCUGGACGUUGUCUUCCAAAAAGUAUAAAAACCAAGACUCAGAUGCAGAAAGAAUUACUUGACACAGAAUUGGAUUUAUAUAAGAAGAUGCAAGCUGGGGAAGAAGUCACUGAACUUAGGAGAAAGUAUACAGAAUUACAGCUGGAAGCUGCGAAACGAGGGAUUCUUUCAUCUGGUCGGGGUAGAGGAAUUCAUUCAAGAGGUCGAGGUGCCACUCAUGGCCGAGGCAGGGGUCGAGGUCGUGGACGUGGUGUGCCUGGUCAUGCUGUGGUGGAUCAUCGUCCUAGAGCAUUGGAGAUUUCAGCAUUUACAGAGAGUGAUAGAGAAGAUCUUCUUCCUCAUUUUGCGCAAUAUGGUGAAAUUGAAGAUUGUCAGAUUGAUGAUUCUUCACUUCAUGCAGUAAUUACAUUCAAGACAAGAGCAGAAGCAGAAGCAGCUGCAGUUCAUGGAGCUCGUUUUAAAGGGCAGGAUCUAAAACUGGCAUGGAAUAAACCCAUAACUAAUAUUUCAGCUGUGGAAACAGAAGAUGUUGAACCUGAUGAAGAGGAAUUUCAGGAAGAGUCUUUGGUGGAUGACUCAUUACUUCAAGAUGAUGAUGAAGAAGAAGAGGACAAUGAAUCUCGUUCUUGGAGAAGAUGAUUUGACUGAUCAUUGAUCGGCAUAUGCUAGAACUCUACCUGUGUUUCAUUAGUAUUAUCUAAUGUACUUUUACAUAUUUGUAAAAACAAUUUUUUGGUAAAAUGUGAUGAAGAUGGAUUUCACAAAUAGACAAAAGAGAAGAAAACUACCUUCUGAUCCUGUAUUUUGAAAGAUUGAUGUUUGCAUUUUAUUUCAGUAAACAAUUGCUAAAGACAUCACACUAGAAAUAUGCAAUGUUUUUAUUACAUACUUCUACUGAACAUUACAGAAUUCUUUGGGUUCUUUGUAAUUUAAUGAAUAGGUCUGAAAAAAUAUGACCCAAUACUUGUUAUAAUUUAGAGGAUUUUGUUUUACUCCAAAUAAGGAAUGAAUUUGCAUUUAAAAUCUUAAUGAAUGUUUUCAAAAUGAAUAGAUAACAUAGUACUCUAACUAAAGUCUCCAAGUUAUGUAUUCAUAAUAUUACAUAGUAGUAUGCUUAGGCUUUACUAUGUAUUAGCCUUUUGUUGGACUUGUGUAUGUAUUUUAUCACAUGGGUUUUAAUAAUAAUGGUGUAUGACUGCUUUACAUAUGAGUCCUUAUGCAUCUGGAUGUUAAAAAUAAAGUGGAAUGGUCUCUUAAAAAGAAAAGAAAAGAAAAAAGUGACAAAAAGAAAAAAAAAGUCCAAGACAAUGUUCCUUGAUUAAAAAAAAAGAAAAAAAAAAGAAAGAAAAAAGAAAAGAAAGAAAAAGAACAAAGGAAAAAAAAGAAAAUAAAAAAUUAAAAUAAAUAGACCAUUCCAGAUGGUGAUCUACCCUUCCCCCCAAUUAUCACAGAAGAAGCUAUAAUCACUUAUUCUUAAUGAUUAAUGAUACCUUUACAAUAAUGUACAAUCCAAUGUUUAAAAUUCUACCACUUCAGUUUGGUUUCAUCCUAUAAAUUUUCAACAGAUGUUUUAAAAUUUAAAAGCAGGCUGAUUAGUUUGGAGCCAGACUUCAAGUAGAGCUAACAUUUGGUGAAUAAGAAAGCAUCAUUUUACAUUUUGGAUGUAUGAAAGAAAACUUGACCAUUUGAAGAUGUAUGAAUAAAGAAAUGUACUAUAGAUACUACUUUAGGAAAACACUGUUUGUAGUCGUGAAAGGUGCCAAAUUGGCAGAGGCUCACGUUUCUUCUCUUUACACCAAACAGCAGAGAGAGAUCAUCAUUGCCUGAAUUUAGUUUUGUGACUACAAGAGCAAGACCUGUUCCUGUCCGGAGACGACUGUUAAUGAUAAUAUCAUCCUAUCAUUUUGUUGCCCUUUAUCAAUUGAAUAGAUGUUUACAUGUACUAUAAUUAGCAUUUUAUCUUUACAGUACACCCGAGUCCAGAAGUAUCUGAAUGUGUGUUCUGUGUGACCUUAUUCAUAAAGGUUUUUUCCCCUUACUUUAUAGCCACUAUUUUUUUAAACACCUUAAAGAAGGAACAAGGCCUCUUAGUUUCCUAAUAUGAGUACAUUCAACCUCAGCCAAAUUGAGAAUUGUGUCUGGGAAAUCUAUAAAGCCAUGAUACUGUGUGUGUUCAUUAGCAUGAACAAUUUAUAAUGAAGAAAAUGAAUUAAAAAGUUAAGCAUAGUUUGGUUUUAGUUUUUUCUUGGUUUUAAGAUAUAUUUCUGAGAUUACAAGAGUCACUUAAAAUAAUUUUGAACAAAUGAGAUAUUUUUACACACUGUAAUGCUUGCCCAUUUCUUAAUGAAUAUACUUCAUUGCCAGCACCACUUACCCAAAUAUUAUUUUUUUUAAUUCUUCGCUCUUCAAAACAAGGAGAAUAAUUUUCUUUUUGAGUAAUAAAUGAUGCUCUGUGGAUUAUAAAUAUUGAAAGAGAUCUAUUAAAUGUCCAGUUUACACAGCUUUUCCUGUUUUCUUCACUUGUAAUCAAACAUCAAAAGAUGAUCAAAGAUGAGCAAGGGGAAAUAGUAUAAUGUGUCUAACAUUGUUAAAGACUAUAUAGUUUCAGCUGCUUUAAAAAGUGCAUAGUGCUUGGUUCAGUAGCACAUAUACUAAAAUUGGAAUGAUACAGAGAAGAUUAGCAUGGCCCAUGCUCAAGGAUAACACAAAUUCGUGAAGCGUUCCAUAUUUUUAAAAAUGUGUAUACAAAUUAUUUAUAAACAAUGGCUUAGAAUUACCAAGACUAUGAUUAAAUCUCAUGUACACUCAAUAUUUUUUAAAAAAUUUUCUCAGUAUUCCUUCAUAGAUUCUUAGGCAUUUGAGCACUCAAGUCUUUAUUAGAAAAGUGAAGUUACACUGAUUCUAUUCACCAUUUUUUUUAAGUUCAUCCAGACAUACUUUUUUUGUGUGCAAAGCUGACUAUUCUACAUUAUUUUCCCCUUGAAUAUGCAUCGUGAUUGUCUUAUAAAAAAUGAAGAGAAUGUAAUAAACAUAAUAUUAUCUGUUUUGAUCCACGUUGGUUACACAGGCAUGGUUAAGGGAAAAGUCAUAUUGUGAAAAGUCUUCUGAUAGUUAUUAACAAGGCAUUUGUUUUCUUAAACUUGACUUUUUUGAGGGGGCCGGGGGCAUUCGCAUUUACAAACUAGCAGGUAGCUAGCUACCGGAAAUUCAAAAACAUUUUCCCAGAUUAGUUUGGUACUUUUGAUUUUCAAGGAAGGACUCUCUGCCCCUAAAGUAGUAGUUCAGCUGCUAGAUUAGAACCCAAAGAACAUCUUCUGAAGAGACCCUACUUGCUCUUAAAUUUUGUUUUUUUAAUGGAUGUGGACCAUUUACUACCACCUUCAACUUUGUCAUGGUUUUUCCCUUUGCUUUUAAAUUAAAGCAAAUUGAAUAUGCCAGUGGGAAUCAAAAGUCAAGAUGAUUUGAUUCUCAUUAAGAUCAUUGUGUUUUUUGAAAAUCGCUGUGAGAUCCAGUUGGUCAGUUAUGUAUUUAAAUCCUCAUAUGUUGAUUAAAGAUAGGUUCUCAUUUUUUAAAUUUUCUUAAAUAGGAUUCUCAUGGAGCUAUGUGUAGAUAACUGUACAGAAUCACUUUUAUGUAAUGAAUGAAGUGGUUUACCUCUGCAUGAUUGCAUUAUGGAAGCCUUUUAUAUAUCUUUAUAUUUUUCAAUAUACUUAGAUUUUACACUAUUAGCCACUCUAGUCAUGCUAUAUUUGUUUUUUUAAUAGAGUUUAUAAAUAUUUAUGCUCAAAGUACAGAUCAACUGAAUAUUUUUGGUCUUGUUUACAAGAUAAUACUUUAAAGUGAUACAGGCCCCUCAAGUGUCUUAGGAAAAAGUCGUUGGUGCUACAAAACCUUUCAUUAAUCAUUUUGAACCUGUUGUCUAGACUUUGCUAGGCUUUAAUCUGUGAUUGCUUAUGAUUUAUUCUAAUCUAGCAGCAUAAUUAUAAAAGUGGUUCAUGCUGAGUCAAGUAAAGAGCCCAGCCUAUUUGAAACACCUCAUAAGUUAAGGAAAUGGUACAGAAUGACUGUACACUUAUUUGUGCCCAGCUUCCCCUAAAAGAUUAUUUUGAUAAGAAGGUUAUUAAUUUGACUAAAAUUUUAAAAAAUGUAUUCAGCAUGGCUGUUUUCUCAUAUGUCAAUUGGAAAACUUCUCUAGUACUAAAAUAUUAUGUAAUCUUACUCUGCUUCAAGUUGCCUUCUUUCACUCAACAGUAGGCAGAGUAAUUCUUGACUAUUUGCAGAAUACUUGAUGAGUUAUUAAGAGAUGUAUUAUUACAUUGUACAAGUUUUGCAUUGAUGUGUAGAGUUUUUGUUUUGUCCCCAAAUUUUAUUCCAGCACCUUAGUGAAUGUUCUUAAGAUACUAUUGUUAAGUAUCAGCAAAGCAUUCAUAUAUGUUUACUUUUGAUUCUCAGAAUCCUGAACUUGUUUUGAGUGGUACUACUUCAGAACAUACUGUCUGGCACAAGAUUUCCUUUAACAAGUGGUUUGUUUUAACUUAGUUUCUGUGGACUGCUGAAUCUAAAAACACCAAAGGAGUUUUUUCUUGUCUGAAGACUGGAUUGUUCCAGUGUUUAAUACCUGUGCCCAUAAGUAUCCCAUUUCAUGAAUGUGUGUUGGCAUGGGGAAAAAUAUUCCCUGCUCUUUGAGUGGAGCGAAAGUAAUUGGUUAAGCUGUAGCAGCUUUUUGUUUAUUUUUAAAGUGAUAAUAAAACUUGAACUUAAAAAAGGCAAAACUUGAACUAGAAACUACUCUUGUAUGCUUAGAAUGUUUAUAGUAUUACAUGGUUUAUGUGGGGUUGUCAACAUUUUUAUUAUUUAUAGUUGAAUUAUGUUUUGUUUGUUAAAUAUCCAUAAUGUUUAUUAUUUUUAUAUUUCAAAAAUUUUAAAAUAAAAUAGUCUUACUAAAAACAGUUGUUAACGUUUAGAAUUGUCCUACAUCUUGCAUCAGCUAUAUUAUUAUGAACUAGAAAGAUAUGUACCCGAUGGGCAUUAACAGUUGAGAAUUCUGAAAAUUGUCUGUACAAAGAAAUGGCUCCACAUUU